AAAGUUCAAUAAAAUGUAUAUUAUUUUAAAUAAAAUUAUUCUUUGGGAGCAUGUUUUAUUUAACUUGAAAGGUUGUUCUAUUGAAGUAUUCUUAUCUUCCCUUCUUAUUUAUAUCAUUUGGGAUACAAUUACUAGAGCCUAUAUUAAUACUGAAAAAUGUUUUGUUGCUUAAAGUGGGUACCAUUAAAAGUUUCAGUGCAUAUACGAGAACAGCAUUUGAUUUUUGUAUGACAAGAGAAAUGGCCGCAAAUUUUAGUUUUUGUGACAACACCAAACAAGCUUUUAAUAAGCUUCACAUUUUUUAGAUGCUAUGUCUGGCUAAAUCAUAAUACCUGAACACGAAAGAACAUUUAACAAAAUAAUAGCUAAUAUUUUAAAGCAUUCUGGUAAUAAAGCAUCACAGCAAUAAAAUCCUUUUUUUUUUUUAUUAUUAUUCAAUCAACAUUUCAUUUUUU